CCUACGGGUGGCAGCAGUGGGGAAUAUUGCACAAUGGGGGGAACCCUGAUGCAGCGACGCCGCGUGAGUGAAGAAGUAUUUCGGUAUGUAAAGCUCUAUCAGCAGGGAAGAAAAUGACGGUACCUGACUAAGAAGCCCCGGCUAACUACGUGCCAGCAGCCGCGGUAAUACGUAGGGGGCAAGCGUUAUCCGGAUUUACUGGGUGUAAAGGGAGCGCAGACGGCUGUGCAAGUCUGGCGUGAAAGGGGGGGGCCCAACCCCCGGACUGCUCUGGAAACUGUAAAGCUGGAGUGCAGGAGAGGUAAGCGGAAUUCCUAGUGUAGCGGUGAAAUGCGUAGAGAUUAGGAGGAACACCAGUGGCGAAGGCGGCUUACUGGACUGCAACUGACGUUGAGGCUCGAAAGCGUGGGGAGCAAACAGGAUUAGAUACCCGAGUAGUC
rnacentral:rRNA from 1 species